rnacentral:rRNA from 1 species
CGUACGUUCCCGGACCUUGUACACACCGCCCGUCAAGCCAUGGAAGCCGAGGGUACCUGAAGACGGUGACUUUACUGGGGACGCUUGUCUAAGGUAAAAUUGGUGACUGGGGCU